CAGCCUUUAGUUUUACACUUUUGACCUGAUGCUUUUUUUGCUGACAACCCAGGGAAAAAAAGCUUUUGUCUUUCACAGUCAGUCUUUUUUCAUAACUCUUAACUUUUCAUCUUUUGCUGAGCGCUGUAGAGUUUGAAGGAUAUUUUAAAACAUCAGCAUCCUGCUGGUACCUUCUACAUAUUUAAUAUUCGUCGAUGCAGGAAGCAUCAGUCUUAUUCACUGACUGUGACAAAUUUAAGUAAACACAAGCCAUGUUAAGUAAUUUUAAGUCUUUAUAUUGAACUUAAAGUGUAGGUGAGAAUGUGGCUUUAUGUGAAAAUAAAUUCAGAUAACUUUGGUUUAAAAAAAAAGGUGCUAAGCUCGCCUAGGCCUGGGAAUCUGAGGGUUUCGCGUUGUACCUUUGCUGUUCUAAGGACUUAAUUGUGAUGGACAUAUAGUUUAGAUGAACUGUGAGUCUACUGAAGCCUUUCCCCCAGUGUAGGGGUUCCAGCUCAUAUUACCACUGGCAACAGUUUGAACUUAACCUUCUCAGGUGGGUUGCCUCUAUUACAAUCGUGAUCUUCAGCUCUGUGUCAAUCACAACUAUGUCAGUUUUGUGAGACAUCACCUGCUAAGCUGUCAGUAAAUUAACGUCCCAAGUGGAUGAGAUCUGUCCAGGAUAUGAGCUACAUCUUGUCCAGUGAGAGCUAGGACAGGCUUCAGCCCCCUUGGAGUUCCAAGUUGGCUAAUCGGUUGAGGGGACAAGUCUUUGACAUUAACAUAAGAAGAAACUGGAAGCUGGGAGUCAUCCCCUUCUCUGACUCCCAUAGUCAAACAGGAAACUGAUGAACACCAAGAUGCAUGGAAACCCCUUGAGGUUCCAGCUUGGUUGAACAACAUAAGAGGAGCCUGCCACUGAUCUCAGGAGGAAAAAAAGGACCAAGAAUUACUUUUAUCCCAGUCUUUAGACGUCUGAAGGACUUCCAGAUUGCACUCCAAAACUAUAUACACCAUCAAAGGUGUCCCUUUGAGGAGUGCCAGUUCGCAGUAUGGAUUCAACACUCAGUAGAUGAUGGCGCAGUUUGCUAAAUGCAACUCAAAUCUGAUGGAGCUGGCUCUAUAUGAGGUGAUAAAGGCCCAAGGCAAAGAAAAAUAUUAAGGACACAAAGCACCUUAGCAGUGGCCUCUCUCUUCAGCUGUGGUGUGGGAAAUGAAGCCUGAAGACCAGACAAAGAGUCUCACUAGAAGCUCAUUUCCUCAGGCCAUCAGAAUUCCUAAUGAGGACAAUGCCCCAGGCCUGCAUGGUGGGCCUGUAAGCAAGACAGGGAAAAUGCUCUAUACCUAGUGUAGUCUCAGCACUUCCUUGAAUAAUGAAUGCACAGUCACUGUUGCCCUAAUGCCACGAGCUUGCCACAAGCACUGCAUCUGUAUAUCGUCUACCUCAAAAUAAAUAUUUA